rnacentral:lncRNA from 1 species
AUUUCCUGCAAUAAAAAGAGCCAUGUUGGAGAUUUACAUUAGCUUGUUUUUCCUGAUCAUAUUCUUUUUAUGAAUAGAUUUAAUAUCUAUAUAUAUUUAAGUGUAUACUUAACAUCUAUAUUAUUAAUCUAUAUAAGUGCAUAAUUAAUGGUAUAUCACUCCAAGCUCUACUAGAAGCUUAACAUAAAUAACAAUUACAAUAAAAAUCUUCAGGCAGUUUUCAUAUUCUCUUAAAAGAAAAGGCAAUAUCAAUAUUCCUUAUGUGAAAAAACAUACUUGCAUAAAUAAAUCUGUUUUACUGCCAAAAUAAAAUAUAGCAUUUAGGAAAUUCCCAUUAUCCUCAAGCUAACUUACUUUAUAAUCUUUCUCUAGAUAUCUCAAGCAGUAUGUCUUAUCCCAUCCUGUGGGAAAUGCAUCAAAGCUGAUUUGUCCACCUGAAAAAGGUCAGAAAAAUAGAUUGAUAAGACUUACACAAUAUUCUGCUCUCUAUGAUACUCAUCUGUAUCUGGAGACUUUUCCUUACAAUAUCUGUCAGCAAUACUGCAUGCAAUCAAAUAUCAAGUAGUCUAAAACGAUUCACUACAAUGACUUCCUUGAGUGCUUACCUAUAGAGUACACAAGACCCAAGUUUGGAAAUUCCUUUUCCAAAGCCUGAACAAACUGCUUCCGUAUGUGGUGCUCCUGUGCAGGAGAAUAAUCUGUAUUAGUGGUCUGACAUGGUUGCUUAAUAAGCAGUUCAGUAUCAUAAAUUAUAACACAAAAAGAGAAUCAUAGCCAAUGCAAAACCUUUGCAAUGCCAUUUUAUUAUGAAAAAUAAGCAAAACAAAAUAAAAUAAGAUAUAUAAUAAAGACUGCCAAUGUAAAUUUCAUAUUGUUCUGAUAUAUAAUCUGUUAAUAUAUAAUAUAUGAUUUAAAUAUUGCAAAUGGCUACAUUUGGUUAAAAAAUGAAGACACCUUCUCUUUCUCUAUUUCAUAUGCUUGAAAUAACUUGUGUAUAUUCUUGAAUUGAUUGUGAAAACUACUAAGUAGUAGAUUAACUGUUAACUGCUAUUAUUACACCUAUAUUACUAACUGAGUUCUCUGGCCAUGUACUGUAGAUUGCUUGCUGGCCAGCAUUUAAUGUGCAAGGAUACAAAAUGCAAACCAAACUGGAUAGAUGUCAUGAAUGCCUCCCUACAAACUCGACUGAGCCCAAACCAACCUUGUCGUACUCCCCAAACUGAUCCCUCUCGGCCUGUGAGCAGCUGCGGCCAACCGGGCACACGUUGAUCAGUCCGUUGCGGAACUCGAUGAAAGUUCCUCGCUUGACUGGCAGCUUGAGGUCAGACAUGUAGCGCAGGGAAAAGUUGAUGAAUUCCUGGAGCUUCUCUUCACCCAUGUGGUUCUGGAUCGACUGUUAAAUGGAAAAUAAUAAAGGAUUACCGAUAGCAACUGGAAAGUUGUAUAUUUUUGUUAUAGUAACUUAAAAGUGAAAAAUGGCCUGAUACACUUUGUAUGGAAAAUUAUAAAUGCACAUUUGUAUUAUCUAAUCUUGAAAAUAUUUCAAUAUGUAAAUAUAGACACAGGGACUUUGUCAAGAAAUAUUCCAUACAAUUAAAGAAGUAUCACAGUAAAAAUACAAAAAAUUAAAACCAUAGUGUAUCCUUUACAAUAUAAAAAUAUCACAAUACAAAAUUACAAACAAACACACGCACAUGC